UACGUAGGGGGCGAGCGUUAUCCGGAUUUACUGGGCGUAAAGCGCGUUAAGGCGGUCGGCAAAGUUGGUUGUGAAAUCUCAGGGCUCAACCCUGAAAUUGCGACCAAUACUGGUCGACUAGAGUGCAAGAGAGGAAGGUGGAAUUCCCGGUGUAGUAGUGAAAUGCGUAGAUAUCGGGAGGAACACCAGUGGCGAAGGCGGCCUUCGUCGGCUUGUAACUGACGCUGUAGCGACGAAAGCGGUGGGGAGCGAACCGGG
rnacentral:rRNA from 1 species